UGGGGAAUAUUGGGCAAUGGGCGCAAGCCUGACCCAGCAACGCCGCGUGAAGGAAGAAGGUCUUCGGAUUGUAAACUUUUGUCGCCAGGGACGAAAAAAGACGGUACCUGGUAAGAAAGCCCCGGCUAACUACGUGCCAGCAGCCGCGGUAAUACGUAGGGGGCAAGCGUUGUCCGGAAUUACUGGGCGUAAAGGGCGCGUAGGCGGCAUAUUAAGUUAGAUGUGAAAUCCCCGGGCUUAACCUGGGUGUUGCAUUUAAAACUGAUAAGCUUGAGUGCAGGAGAGGUAAGUGGAAUUCCUAGUGUAGCGGUGAAAUGCGUAGAUAUUAGGAGGAACAUCAGUGGCGAAGGCGACUUACUGGACUGUAACUGACGCUGAGGCGCGAAAGCGUGGGGAGCAAACA
rnacentral:rRNA from 1 species